AAGACACUUAGAUAGAGAGAUGUCCUUUAUGAGACAUAAUGAUAUUACCAUCAAAAUGUCUAACGUCUGGCAAUAGGGCAAGAAGAAACUCAUUGGUGUGCUUAUUUGGAUUUUCAAAACAAUGUUAUGAGUAUUUGAAAUGCAGAUUUGGUUGGUGGAAUGGGCAUGUUUGUUUAACUUUCUAAAAGUUCAUUUCAGGGCGUUUUAAAAUACAUGUACUCCACAUUAAUGAUAUCUCAAGUUUUUUUUUUUUUUUUUUUGUAUUUUUUAAACAGGACCAUGUGAAACAAGCAAUCAACAACAUUUGAAUAAAGUGUAUUUUGUGUUUCAGGUAUUCCCCUUACUUGUAAGGUCUGGAGCUGUCUCAAUUUUACUAGCAAGCUUGGUGUACAAAAUUUAAUGUGAACAUUGGCUUAUGGAUGACUCUGCCUAAUAUAUGACAUCAAAGGUACAUCAGCUUUAGGACUUUAUUUAUGUGGAUAUUUGUGGUGUGACCAAUACUAGAGGAUAAAUGCCAUCCCCUGCCACCAGAGACAGCAGAUUUAGGCAUAGUUUCCCUUAGCUACCAUCUCCCACUGUUCUAUGUCUUUGAUUAAACUUACAUAACUUAA